rnacentral:rRNA from 1 species
GGCGGCGUCUUACACAUGCAGUCGAACGAGCAGCCAGAAGUGCUUGCACAUCUGGUGGGCGAGUGGCGGACGGGUGCGUAACACGUAGGAACCUGCCCUGAGGAGGGGGACAACCGCUGGAAACGGCGGCUAAUCCCGCAUGGUCUCGGCCGAGGGAGAUCUCGGUUGAGUAAAGACUCCGGUGCCUCAGGAGGGGCCUGCGGCCUAUCAGGUAGUUGGUGGGGUAACGGCCCACCAAGCCGAUGACGGGUAGGGGGCGUGAGAGCGUGGCCCCCCACACGGGAACUGAGACACGGUCCCGACGCCUACGGGCGGCAGCAGUGAGGAAUCUUGCCCAAUGGGGGAAACCCUGAGGCAGCGACGCCGCGUGCGGGAGGAAGGCCUUCGGGUCGUAAACCGCUUUUCUGGGGGACGAGGAAGGACGGUACCCCAGGGAUAAGUCCCGGCUAACUACGUGCCAGCAGCCGCGGUAAAACGUAGGGGGCGAGCGUUAUCCGGAAUUACUGGGCGUAAAGGGCGUCUAGGCGGCAGCCUAAGUCCAACGUGAAAGCUCCCGGCUCAACUGGGAGAGGGCGUCGGAAACUGGGCAGCUAGAGAAUCGGAGAGGGGUGCGGAAUUCCCGGUGGAGUGGUGAAAUGCGUUGAGAUCGGGAGGAACACUAGAGGCGAAGGCGGCACCCUGGCCGAGUUCUGACGCUGAAGCGCGACAGCGUGGGGAGCGAACGGGAUUAGAUACCCCGGUAGUCCACGCCGUAAACGAUGUCAACUAGGUGUCGGGGGUCCAAGGACGCUCGGUGCCGCAGCUAACGCGGUAAGUUGUCCGCCUGGGGAGUACGGCCGCAAGGCUAAAACUCAAAGGAAUUGACGGGGGCCCGCACAAGCAGCGGAGCGUGUGGUUUAAUUCGAUGCAACGCGAAAAACCUUACCUGGCCUUGACAUGCCGGUGGUAGGGAUCCGAAAGGUGAC